rnacentral:rRNA from 1 species
CACCGCGGUUAUACGAGAGGCUCAAGUUGACAGACAGCGGCGUAAAGAGUGGUUAAGGAAACUUCUAAACUAAAGCCGAACGCCCCCAGAACUGUUAUACGUUUCCGAAGGUAUGAAGCUCCACCACGAAAGUGGCUUUAUUCCCCCUGACUCCACGAAAGCUGUGAAA